rnacentral:rRNA from 1 species
AUACGGAGGAUCCGAGCGUUAUCCGGAUUUAUUGGGUUUAAAGGGUGCGUAGGCGGCCUUUUAAGUCAGCGGUGAAAGUCUGUGGCUCAACCAUAGAAUUGCCGUUGAAACUGGGAGGCUUGAGUAUGUUUGAGGCAGGCGGAAUGCGUGGGGUAGCGGGGAAAUGCUUAGAUAUCAAGCAUAACCCCGAUUGCGAAGGCAGCCUGCCAAGCCAUGACUGACGCUGAUGCACGAAAGCGUGGGGAUCAAACAGGAUUAGAUACCCUGGUAGUCCACGCAGUAAACGAUGAUCACUAGCUGUUUGCGAUACAGUGUAAGCGGCACAGCGAAAGCGUUAAGUGAUCCACCUGGGGAGUACGCCGGCAACGGUGAAACUCAAAUGAAUUGACGGGG